rnacentral:rRNA from 1 species
GACGAACGCUGGCGGCGUGCCUCAUACAUGCAAGUAGAACGCAGUUGCGAACGGGUGAGUAACGCGUAGGUAACUGCCUCAUAGCGGGGGAUAACUAUGGGAAACGAUAGCUAAUACCGCAUACUGUGAGAUGGACCUGCGUUGUAUUAGCUAGUUGGUGAGGUAAAGGCUAACCAAGCCGACGAUACAUAGCCGACCUGAGAGGUUGAUCGGCCAAACUGGGACUGAGACACGGCCCAGAUUUCUACGGGAGGCAGCAGUAGGGAAUCUUCGGCAAUGGACGGAAGUCUGACCGAGCAAUGCAGCGUGAGUGAAGAGUGUUUUCGGAUCGCAAAGCUCUGUUGUUAGAGAGGCGCUAACUAACCAGAAAGGGACGGCUAACUACGUGCCAGCCGCCGCGGUAAUUC